UCUGGAGUAGGANGCGGUGGUCCCACCUGACCCCAUGCCGAACUCAGAAGUGAAACGCCGUAGCGCCGAUGGUAGUGUGGGGCUUCCCCAUGUGAGAGUAGGGAACUGCCAGGC
rnacentral:rRNA from 1 species